UACCUAUUAGAUAAUAAUAAUAGAUAAUACAAUUAACAAUUUGUCCUGUAUAUACCACCAAAAUAUCCUUCUUUGUUGUCUGCAGGCGUUUAAAAUCAGACACCGGUGUGUUUCUGGCUUUAUUUGUCGGGUCUGUCUAAGUUUUAAAGUUUUUUCUGAAAAGUCAGCCGUGUGUGUAGCAUUGUCAACAUUUUACAUAUGUAUGCAUUUCCAACAUUGUACAGUACGUUUGGUGUAGAAGUGUAUAACACAAAGUAUAUAUUUUACAUAGUGAUUCUAGUUAAGAAAAUAGUUUUUUGAACUACAGGAAUUCAUGCUGCACUUUGAGAACAUUAUUUAUUUAUAUAUGUAGGCUAUUUAUUGUUUUGGAUACACUGGGAAGAUAUUUAUCUUGACAAGUAUUUCAAGUGAUUUGAACUGAAGUGUAACAUUUGAUUGGAUGGAUCUGCCUUGUUUUGAAAUACUGACUGAUGAGCUGAUUUGAAAACAACUCUGUGGAUAGUUUUCACUUGUUAUGAGACUCAUUUGAUGCGAUGUAAAAGGACUUCUUAAGAUGAAUAUUUCCUACAGUGAUGGGAUAGAUAGAUAGAUAAUUAUCGGAGUCAUGGCUUCCUUGUGCGUUGCUGUGUUUGUGGAUGAUAGUGACGUGCUGUGUUUGCACUGGCGGAGGUGCGAGGUACCCUCCUCUCAUGGUGGUGUUCAGUGUUGUAUUCUCCUUGCAAGGUCCCGCUUCUGUCGUUGCUACGCCUGCACUGCUCCUGCAAUAGGGCACUGACACUGAACUUUACCAAAAACCUGAGUCUAGUAAAGAUUUAAAAUGCUUUUCAUUACUCAGCUUGCCCAGUCGGGUUUGCGUUUUGAGAUGUCGCAAUUUCAAAUACCUCCGAGAUUUAAGCUGUGAAAAAACUGAUUGUUUAAUGUGAUGUUUAAAAUGGGCUAAAGAGAGCCUAAAUGUCUCUUUAGACUAGGAGAGAUUUGGGUUUGGUGUGUCACAUCCAUCCACAAGAAUCUUAAGUUUAAGGUGCAGGUCUGUGGCCGGCCGACCUUGAAAAUAUAACAUGUUUUGUUUGUAGUUAAAACUGCCCAUUUACAACUGAAUCAGGGAUUGCAAAUUAUUCUCGUAUGACAGCAGUCUUGUUCGAUAGAUAGUUAGCAACUUGGUAUCCAAGCAGAUUGGAUAAUUUUGCAGUUUGGAAAAAUCGAGGCAAAUAAAAAA